rnacentral:rRNA from 1 species
UAUGUGAUCGUCUCUCGCAUAUCAAUAAGCGGAGGAAAAGAAACUAACAAGGAUUCCCCUAGUAACGGCGAGUGAAGCGGGAAGAGCUCAAAUUUGAAAUCUUAAAGGGUUUCCCUUUACGAAUUGUAGUUUAAAGAAGUGUUUUCUGUUGAGGUUUUGGUAAAAGUUCUUUGGAAUAGGACAUCAUAGAGGGUGAGAAUCCCGUAUUUGACCUUUACUUUCAACUUUGUGAUACACUUUCAAAGAGUCGGAUUGUUUGGGAAUGCAGUCCAAAAUGGGUGGUAAAUUUCAUCUAAAGCUAAAUAUUGGCGAGAGACCGAUAGCGAACAAGUACCGUGAGGGAAAGAUGAAAAGAACUUUGAAAAGAGAGUUAAACAGUACGUGAAAUUGUCAAAAGGGAAGCGUUUGACACCAGUGUUGUUUUUCUGAAAAUCAAUUAAAGAACUGUUUAUGCUAAGCUGUUUAGACUUUAUCAGCUAACUGUUUAGUUUUGAGCUUUUCUUUAAUGCACUUUUCAGUUAACAAGUCAACAUCAAUUUCUUUUGCUGUAAAAAAGCUUGAGGAAGGUGGCUUGAGAUUCGUCUUAAGUGUUUAUAGCCUCUUGCCUAUGCAGUCGGAGAGAUUGAGGUCUGCAGCGUAGAUCCUUCGGGGCUAAAUGCAUUUGUGCUAAGUUAUAGCAUUUUAUAGACAACUUGUUGACUAUGAUUUGUCUUGUAGCUUACUCGCUUAUGUUAUUUUACCUACGCUUAGGAUGUUGAUAUCGCGCUCUCACU